UACUAAUUGACUCUUCACAGUACGGGCAGCUUAUAAAAGGAUAAAUCUUCCAGAAUUUUAAGGACUACCUCCCUAGACCGGCUGCGACUUAAGAACGAAAUGCAGAAUACUAAAUUAAACAAAAUCAAAAAAAUGUGUGAAAACUACUAAUUGACUCUUCACAGUACGGGCAGCUUAUAAAAGGAUAAAUCUUCCAGAAUUUUAAGGACUACCUCCCUAGACCGGCUGCGACUUAAGAACGAAAUGCAGAAUACUAAAUUAAACAAAAUCAAAAAAAUGUGUGAAAACUACUAAUUGACUCUUCACAGUACGGGCAGCUUAUAAAAGGAUAAAUCUUCCAGAAUUUUAAGGACUACCUCCCUAGACCGGCUGCGACUUAAGAACGUUCGCAAUAGACUGCUGGCUGGACUAUCUCCCAAGGAUGCAAGUUUUAUGACCACAGUUGGUGGCAGGUAUGGUUUUCUCAAAAUUUUGGCGUAUAGGAAAAAAAUAAAAUUUGUUAAUUAGCCAUCAUACAUAGCUUUUUCCAAAAUUAUAUGUUUCAUUCUAUGAGCAAACAAAAAGUAUUAGUUUGUAAAAUGGCGUACGUAUUUGCAAAAAUUGUCGUGUGCAGGGAAAAAUUUAAAAAGAAGAAAGGGAAAUGAAAAGUUGGCAACGCGGGGAUAUAAACAAUUUGACAGCUGGAAAAUAUAAACAAAAAUAAAUCUAAAGUAAGAAAGAACUACACUACUUAAGCAAAUGGCUAAAAUGAAAAUAAAUUAUUAGAAACCAUAUUGGCAACCGAGGUUUCUCGGUCCUUAAAAACUAAAAUGCCGGUCCUUUUAAUUU